CGAGCGGCCUGGGGUUCUCGCUCUCUUUCUUGCUAUGCAACAAACAUUUGUGAUUUGUGCUUACACGUGAGACCGUGCUUGCUGUAAGAUUUUUCUCCCCUCUUUUCUGUGGAGGUCAUAGGAAUCCCUCCACAUCGCCCUCUCCCCGUUGUCCCUCUCCCGUCACUUCAUCUUCUCUUCCAGUCGUUUCAUCUUUCUCGGCAGCUUUGGCUUCAGUCAUCGGCUUCGCAAGUUCGCAUCGACAUGGGGUUCUAAUUGGACAACCUAAGGCUUACAACGAGCCGUGGUCUAACCACCCAAACUGACUGCUCAGUGACAGAAAUCAGACAGGUUGGUAUCUAAUGUUUAAAUAUAAUGGCAUAAAUUCUAGCACCUUGAAAAAGACAAACUCAGCACGCCCCAUUGUGCAGCUGAUCAUUUUUUAGCUUAUGGAAAAUUCAUAAUAUUAAACGCUGGAGCAGAGCUUGCCUCACAUGCUAGGGUCUUAGAGCAUCUCCAAGAGCAAGCAAUGUAUUCAAUAUUGAUUAAUUUUUUCAAUAUUUCAAAUGUUUAUCGAUAUUAUUGAGCUGUAAAUUUAUGAAUUCAUAAACGAGAUUUUCUGUCUGCUAAAUGGUUGCUUGCCAAAGAUUUGUGAUUAGAAGCAAACAAACU
rnacentral:lncRNA from 7 species